AUACGGAGGAUGCGAGCGUUAUCCGGAUUUAUUGGGUUUAAAGGGUGCGUAGGCGGACGAUUAAGUCAGCUGUGAAAUGCCCGCGCUUAACGCGGGAAGUGCAGUUGAUACUGGUUGUCUGGAGUGCCGUUGCCGUGGGGGGAAUGUGUAGUGUAGCGGUGAAAUGCAUAGAUAUUACACAGAACGCCGAUUGUGAAGACACCUCCGGAAGCGGAAAGGGACGCUGAGGCACGAAAGCGUGGGGAUCGAACAGGAUUAGAUUCCCUGGUAGUCCACGCAGUAAACGAUGAGGACUAACCGUGGGCGGUGGGCCGCCGGUGGCCAAGCGAAAGCGAUAAGUCAUCCACCUGGGGAGUACGACCGCAAGGCUGAAACUCAAAGGAAUUGACGGGG
rnacentral:rRNA from 1 species